rnacentral:lncRNA from 1 species
CUCUGUCCCUUCUCCACUGUUUUUGCUUCCCCCCUUUUCUGGAGGGAACGGAUGCCACCUCCUCCAGGGAAGGGGUGUAGCGGAGCACCCUCCUCCCGCCCGUCCCCCCAGGCCUUGGGGGCUCCCUGCAGUUUUCCUUCUCUGCACGGAGAAGUCCGAGUUUGUUUUUUCCACCCCGGGAAGAUGUUUUGCGUGCCAUACUGAACUGCAGCGGGACCGCGGGCCCAGCCUGGGAGYGGCUACGGCCAGCGCAGAGGGGCUGCCGGGGCCGGGACCGGUGCCAGGCUCCAGGGAGGGUGGGGAUGGAUCUCACGGACCCCUGCUCAAGGACUGCCCCCCUCCAUACUUCAGCAGCAGCCAGCGGCUGGUGGGACCCCAGCAUGGAGCGUCGCGACUGGAGAGCGCUGCCGAGAAUCCUGGCAUGCAGGGAGAUGAGCUAUUCUGCGUUGGAACCCCGAGCAGCUACCAACUCCCUUCCUGGGAACAGUCUCACUUGCCAAGCUAUGAGAGCGUGCGGAAGAAAGAUCGCCAGCGGGAAAUCCAUCAGAUGAUUGCCGAGAGGUUUGGGCUGUGGGCAGACCCUUCCCAGGAGAUGCCACCUCCCUACGAGCAUGCUCUAAGGCAUCCUCCAGCUUUCUCAGGAACAGUAGUAAGCUCAGAGACCUUGGACAGACAUGGCAUGCCAGACCCUUUCCAGGCCCCUGUCAGCUACCAAACUCAGAGGAACACAGCAGUGUAA